GAUGAAGAACGUAGCGAAAUGCGAUAAGUAAUGUGAAUUGCAGAAUUCGGUGAAUCAUCGAAUCUUUGAACGCACAUUGCGCCCCCUGGUAUUCCGGGGGGCAUGCCUGUUCGAGCGUCAUUACAACCCUCAAGCUCUGCUUGGUAUUGGGCCCCGCCAGUUCUGGCGGGCCCUAAAGUCAGUGGCGGUGCCUUCCGGCUCCGAGCGUAGUAAUUCUUCUCGCUCUGGAGACCCGGUUGUGUGCUUGCCAACAACCCCCAAUUUUUUAAGGUUGACCUCGGAUCAGGUAGGGAUACCCGCUGAACUUAAGCAUAUCAAUAAGCGGAGGA
rnacentral:misc_RNA from 1 species